AACGAACGCUGGCGGCAUGCCUAACACACGCAAGUCGAACGAGAUCUUCGGGUCUAGUGGCGCACGGGUGCGUAACGCGUGGGAAUCUGCCUUUUGGUUCGGAAUAACAGUUGGAAACGACUGCUAAUACCGGAUGAUGACGAAAGUCCAAAGAUUUAUCGCCAGAGGAUGAGCCCGCGUAGGAUUAGCUAGUUGGUGUGGUAAAGGCGCACCAAGGCGCCGAUCCUUAGCUGGUCUGAGAGGAUGAUCAGCCACACUGGGACUGAGACACGGCCCAGACUCCUACGGGAGGCAGCAGUGGGGAAUAUUGGACAAUGGGCGAAAGCCUGAUCCAGCAAUGCCGCGUGAGUGAUGAAGGCCUUAGGGUUGUAAAGCUCUUUUACCCGGGAUGAUAAUGACAGUACCGGGAGAAUAAGCUCCGGCUAACUCCGUGCCAGCAGCCGCCGUAA
rnacentral:rRNA from 1 species